rnacentral:rRNA from 1 species
UACGUAGGGGGCUAGCGUUGUCCGGAAUCAUUGGGCGUAAAGCGCGCGUAGGCGGCCAGAUAAGUCCGGUGUGAAAGUCACAGGCUCAACCUGUGAAUGCCGCUGGAAACUGUCUGGCUAGAGUCCGGAAGGGGCGAGUGGAAUUCCUGGUGUAGCGGUGAAAUGCGCAGAUAUCAGGAGGAACACCGGUGGCGAAGGCGGUUCUCUGGGCAUUACCUGACGCUGAGGAGCGAAAGUGUGGGGAGCGAACAGG